CCUACGGGAGGCUGCAGUGAGGAAUAUUGGUCAAUGGACGCAAGGCUGAACCAGCCAAGCAGCGUGCAGGAUGACGGCCCUAUGAGUUGUAAACUGCUUUUAUACGAGGGUAAACCCCGAUACGUGUAUCGGGUUGAAAGUAUCGUACGAAUAAGGAUCGGCUAACUCCGUGCCAGCAGCCGCGGUAAUACGGAGGAUCCGAGCGUUAUCCGGAUUUAUUGGGUUUAAAGGGUGCGUAGGCGGUUGGAUAAGUUAGAGGUGAAAUGUAGUGGCUCAACCACGAUACUGCCGCUAGUACUGUUGGACUAGAGAAUAGUUGCGGUAGGCGGAAUGUAUGGUGUAGCGGUGAAAUGCUUAGAGAUCAUGCAGAACACCGAUUGCGAAGGCAGCUUACCAAACUAUAUCUGACGUUGAGGCACGAAAGCGUGGGUAGCAAACAGGAUUAGAUACCCCGGUAGUC
rnacentral:rRNA from 1 species